rnacentral:lncRNA from 1 species
CAAUUCAACUUAUUUCAUAUCUUCAAGUUUGCUUCAACAGUUUCCCACCUCCUAAGUAGAAAAAAAAAAAAAAUUCUGCGAAUUUUUUUUUUCUCCGGGAAACUGGGGGGUCACCCAAAUCAAACUUGUACUCUUAAUUAUAAUUUAAGUCCUAUGUUUCUAUUCAUGUUUUUAAAAUGUCCUUGGAAUAGAACUCGGCAGCUCACCAUUCAAAAUUUAAAUUUUAAAAAAGUUCUCAGAUUGGGCGCCUUAAGACGGCAUCCAAUCACCUGAGAGCACUCUCGAACCCAGAAAGUGACGCCAUAGGUGCUGCUUUCUGGUUGGUCGAGAGUGCUCUCAGUUCGUUUUUGUCGUUCUUCCUGGAUGCGUGAGUAAGUUUUUCCUCUCGAUUUUUUUCCCUUUUUGGGGGUAAUCCUCGCGGAUUACCCCCCAACCUUUCAUCGGUCGGGUCGGUAGUGUUUAAAUAAUGUAAAUUUUGGUCACGCAAAUUAAAAUUUUGCGUUUUGUGUACUUUCUUUAUCUUUCCUUUCUUCAUUUGAUUUGUGGCAUGUGGUCAGAGUCUCAGCCGGCAGCUCAGAAGUCUAUCUGAUUCCCCACAUCGCUUCACGGGCAACCUUCCAUCAAUAGUUUUUCAAGUAAAAAAGUUGUAAGAAGAAUAAGACCCCGAGCGUUGAGACAAAUUAAUUGCACGUUUUUCUUUAUAGAAUAACUCAUAUUAUUUACAUUCGUACUUGCUUUUUGCCAAAAUAUCCGUUUCUUGCUUCUUUUUUUCAAGUUUUUGUUUGAGUUUUUUUUUCGACAAAAGAAAAAUGCUUUUCAGAAAAAAUUACCUCGUACCAAAUGGAAGCGGACGGGUAAUUUUUUAAAUUUUCACUAGGUACGUAAAGGCCUGAAAACGUCAAAGUUAGAUUUAGCGGGCAGUUCAGUACCUCCCACCUCCUUUUUACUACUUAAAAUCCCGACUUUUCAGACGCUUGGCACACGAAUCCUCUGGGUCACUUUAAACCUGCAGUCAAGGUAAAACAUUCUUAAUUGCUUUACUAUUCCACUCGG